rnacentral:lncRNA from 1 species
AAAUAAAUAUUUAAACUUUAUCAUAUUUUGUAAAUGUAGAGCCCAUCGUACUCAUAAAUCAUUAUCGAUAAUGAAUCUUCUGAAUCGACGAUUUAUACUGUUAAAUAUGAUCUAAAAUAUUUGAAACAUGUAAAAUUCAAAAUUUAUAAUUUUUCAAAUUUAUAAUAAAAUCAAUCAAAUGGAUCUAUAAUAAACAGUCAAAAUAGCACCUAGAGUCGGACUACUAUACACUUAUGAGAAUAGAGACCAUCAAAUUCGUAAGUUGUUUUUUAUGAUGAAUCUUCCGAAUCGACGAUUCAUACCGUUAAAUGUGAUUUAGAGUAUCUAAAAUAUCCAAAAAUUAGAUUUUGUAAUUUUUCGAAUUUAUAAUAAGUCCAUUAAGUGGAUCUAAAAUAAAUGCUCAAAAUCGAACUAUCUCACAAAAAUAGGGGAUAGAAUUUUUAAAUGCAAGAUCGGAGUUAUUAAUCUUGAUCUAUGUAGUCUGUUAAAAAUUUAACGAAUUUUAAUUUUUCUACAGCGUUAACUUGAAAACACUUUAUACCGGUAGUUAAAACUGUCAAUUUUGAAACCCUUUGAUUAUAAAGUAUACGAUAUCAAAAACUUAUGAAAUUUAAUUUCUAUAAUAUGUUUUUAAAUAUUGUAAUUAUGUUUAAUGAUAUAAAUCGUCGAUUUGAAAGUUCUAUCAUCGAAAAAGAUUUAUGAGUAUGAAGGAGAUCGCACUCACAAUAAUACAAUAGCUGACUCAUAUUUGUGU